UGACACUAGUCUGGAACAAAGGAGGUGGUCACUUAUUAUUUCUGUGGGUACGCCUUAACUCCAUCCCUGGGAAAGACUUGAUAAUCCACAGGGUAUUUAUCCAAUGAUUUGGAGGUGUGUUAGUGUACUUGCUUGGGGCCAAGAUCUAAUUUUGAGUGAGUGACCAUCAUCCUUCCUUGCCAGAUACCCCCUGGGCAGAAGUUGUACUUUGAAAACUUAAGUGAGUAAUUAGGACGUCUGUAUUUUAUCCUUUUUGUUUUUAUCUGUUAUUGGUGAAAAUUAUUUAUCAUAUAUUUUUGUAUACACUGUGACUAUUUUUGCUCAUAAU